rnacentral:lncRNA from 1 species
GUAGCUCUGUCCUGGGUUCCUUGCCUUGGGUGGUUCACCCAGACCAUUGUCAGUUUGUAGUUGUUCCCCUCCCUUUCAUGGGUUUCCCCUUUAUAUAAUAAGAUCUUAUGGGCUAGAGAGAUGGCUCAGCCAUUAAAAGCUAGGUUCACAACCAAAAAUAUAAGAUCUCAGAUAAACCUGAACCCUGUCCCUAAGAAGGACACCUCUUUUUCCCUGGCAUCGUGUGUGUGUGUGUGUGUGUGUGUGUGUGUGUGUGUGUGUGUGUGUAAUAUAAGAUCUCAGAUCUUAAUAUGUAGACCUGAACCCUGUCCCUAAGAAGGACACCUCUUUUUCCCUGGCAUCGUGUGUGUGUGUGUGUGUGUGAUAGUUUUUUUUUUUUCAUGUGAGAUGAUUAUGGCCACACACCCCUUGGGCCACUGCCACCUGCAGUAACCUGAGUGCCAUGGUUACAGACGUUUCUCACACACCCAGUCCACUUAGUGGGGGGAAAUGCCUUAAUGCUUUGUGAUAUCAGUGCUUGAAUGUUCUAGAAUGCAGAGCUGAGUGGUCUGGGAAGUGUUAAUAUUGGAGAAGGGAGGAAGAAAGAGUAGUAGGAGAGGAAGAAGGUGGAGGGGAGAGGGGGAAUAUAAGGAGGAAGAAGGAGAAGGAAGGAGGGAUGAGAGGAGGAGGGAAGAGGAGGAGGCAAAAGAAGGAGGCAAGAGGAAGCAGGAGAGGAGGAGGGAAAAGGAAUAAGAGGAGAGAAAAGGUCUCAUAGUGAUGCACUGAGGUUCUCAAGCAUUCAUCUUCCUCUGCUAGACAUGAGGAGGAGGAAGGAGGAGAAGGAGGAGGGAAGAGGGGAAAGAGAAGGAGGAGGAGAGAGGGAGGAAGGAAGAGGAGGAGGAAGAAGGAGGGAGGAGGAGAAGGAGGAGGGAGAAAGGAAAAAGGAGGAAGGGGAGGAAGAGAAGGAAGAAGGGAAGAGUUAAAAGGAAAGGAAGAGGAAGGAGGGGAAGGAAGAGCAGGAAGGAGGAGGAGGGAGGGUUUCUCGCACAGGAGUCUUAGGAGUAAAACACAUGGUGGGAAUUUAGCUCAGGGUGUUAAGGAGGCACCAUGAGAGAGGAGCUGUAAGUUCAGAGUUGGCAGAAUGACACACUGGGACACUCAAGGGGUCAGCUUCCUCUGCUAGAAAUUAGUAGGGACUCUCUGGAAACUUCUGAGCAUAAACAGUGAGCCCAGAGGGUUUGUAGGAAGCUCACCUGCCCGUCUGUACCAGAGGAACCAUGUGGGUGAUGGAAGGGUGCCCUGGAACAGGAUUAACUAUCAAAGGAUACAGACUACAGUGGAAGAGGCCCUUCUCAUGGUAUGUCACAGAAACUUCCUUGGAGUCCAAAGAUCGGCGUGGUAAGUAGCGGAAGUAACAGGAGUUUGGAGCCUAAGAGAAGGUUGAGAUUGAGGAUAUGGAUAGCGGGCUGAGUGUACUGUUGUCAGCCUCGGGACUUUAGACUUUGAUCAGAUCUCAUGGCCUUCAAUUUCAGCAACUAUAACAGAAGAGAUCACUAUAGUUCUUAACUGAAGUGUUGACACCAAGGUUAAAAGAGCUUACUUAGCACAACUUGAGAGAAUGUAUGUAUGAGGGUUCAGGGAUGACCGUUUUUAUUUCCCAACCACCACACUAUCACUACUAUUACCAAUAACAACACAACCACCAUCACCACUACUGUCACUACCACCACAACCAUUAUCACCACCAUCGAUAACAUCAUUACCACUGUCACCACUACCGUCACUCCUACAACCAUCAUUACCGUUAUCUCUAUCAGCAUCACCACUAUCUUGACCACCUUCACUAUCACCAUCACAUGGCAGAAACACCAGCUGUCCACGGAAGUCUCCUCAUCCUAACUUGACAAAAGGGGAAACAGUUACAGAGAUUAUCAGAACAGGAAUUGAAUCAGAGACUCUUAGCCCAACCACAGUAUGCUCACCAGGACACCAGCCAUGUGAGAAAUGGUCAGACAACACACUUUCUUCCCUGGACUCCUAGAGAGCAGGAGGAGAUGUGAUGGACCCUGCUCCUUCCAAGUGGUGCAGUCUCCUUUUCCCUGCCUCGCCCUGCAUUUCCAUGGUCAGCUGUAGUGGUUCCCAGACCCUUUGCAGGAGUCCAGGCUAUUUCUAACAAAUUGAUCCUUGCUUUUUCUUUUCUGUUUCAUUUUUUCCUUCCUUUCCCCCCUUUUCCUCCCCUUCCUUUCUUCCUUCCUUCCUUCCUCCCUCCCUUCCUUCCUUCCUUCCUUCCUUCCUCCCUCCCUCCCU